rnacentral:rRNA from 1 species
CUCAUAUUGAAACCUAGUGAUGUAUGAGUUAGUGGCGGACGGGUGAGUAACGCGUGGAGAACCUGCCGUAUACUGGGGGAUAACACUUAGAAAUAGGUGCUAAUACCGCAUAAGCGCACAGCUUCGCAUGAAGCAGUGUGAAAAACUCCGGUGGUAUACGAUGGAUCCGCGUCUGAUUAGCUUGUUGGCGGGGUAAAGGCCCACCAAGGCGACGAUCAGUAGCCGGCCUGAGAGGGUGAACGGCCACAUUGGGACUGAGACACGGCCCAAACUCCUACGGGAGGCAGCAGUGGGGAAUAUUGCACAAUGGGGGAAACCCUGAUGCAGCGACGCCGCGUGAGUGAAGAAGUAUUUCGGUACGUAAAGCUCUAUCAGCAGGGAAGAAAAUGACGGUACCUGACUAAGAAGCCCCGGCUAACUACGUGCCAGCAGCCGCGGUAAUACGUAGGGGGCAAGCGUUAUCCGGAUUUACUGGGUGUAAAGGGAGCGUAGACGGCAGCGCAAGUCUGGAGUGAAAUCCCAUGGCUUAACCAUGGAACUGCUUUGGAAACUGUGCAGCUGGAGUGCAGGAGAGGUAAGCGGAAUUCCUAGUGUAGCGGUGAAAUGCGUAGAUAUUAGGAGGAACACCAGUGGCGAAGGCGGCUUACUGGACUGUAACUGACGUUGAGGCUCGAAAGCGUGGGGAGCAAACAGGAUUAGAUACCCUGGUAGUCCACGCUGUAAACGAUGAUUACUAGGUGUUGGGGGACCAAGGUCCUUCGGUGCCGUCGCAAACGCAUUAAGUAAUC